UACGUAGGGUGCAAGCGUUGUCCGGAAUUAUUGGGCGUAAAGAGCUCGUAGGCGGUCUGUCGCGUCUGCUGUGAAAACUCAGGGCUUAACCCUGAGCUUGCAGUGGGUACGGGCAGACUAGAGUGCGGUAGGGGAGACUGGAAUUCCUGGUGUAGCGGUGAAAUGCGCAGAUAUCAGGAGGAACACCGGUGGGCGAAGGCGGGUCUCUGGGCCGUAACUGACGCUGGAGGAGCG
rnacentral:rRNA from 1 species